rnacentral:tRNA from 1 species
GAGGGUAUAGCUCAAGUGGUAGAGUGUAUGCUUAACAUGCACGAGGUCCUGGGUUCAAUCCCCACUACCUCCU